rnacentral:rRNA from 1 species
UACGUAGGGGGCUAGCGUUGUCCGGAUUUAUUGGGCGUAAAGAGCGCGUAGGCGGCCGAGUAAGUCCGACGUGAAAUCUGGAGGCUCAACCUCCAGCGGUCGUUGGAAACUACUCGGCUAGAGUCCGGAAGAGGAGAGUGGAAUUCCUGGUGUAGCGGUGAAAUGCGCAGAUAUCAGGAAGAACACCGAUGGCGAAAGCAGCUCUCUGGGCCAUAACUGACGCUGAGAAGCGAAAGCAUGGGGAGCGAACAGG